rnacentral:rRNA from 1 species
GAUGAACGCUGGCGGCGUGCUUAACACAUGCAAGUCGAACGGAAAGGCUCCUGCUUGCAGGGGUACUCGAGUGGCGAACGGGUGAGUAACACGUGGGUGAUCUGCCCUGCACUUCGGGAUAAGCCUGGGAAACUGGGUCUAAUACCGGAUAGGACCACAUUUUGGAUGGUGUGGUGGAAAGUUUUUCGGUGUGGGAUGAGCUCGCGGCCUAUCAGCUUGUUGGUGGGGUAAUGGCCUACCAAGGCGUCGACGGGUAGCCGGCCUGAGAGGGUGUACGGCCACAUUGGGACUGAGAUACGGCCCAGACUCCUACGGGAGGCAGCAGUGGGGAAUAUUGCACAAUGGGCGCAAGCCUGAUGCAGCGACGCCGCGUGGGGGAUGACGGCCUUCGGGUUGUAAACUCCUUUCGCUAGGGACGAAGCGCAAGUGGCGGUACCUGGAGAAGAAGCACCGGCUAACUACGUG